GUUUUUGGAGUACGAGCGCCACAACAUCCAUUUCAAUAGACGUUUUUAAAAAAAACUCAUUUCCACAACACCUAGAGCGCAAUCUUUUUCGCUUUGCUGUUGAUGGACCGGGUGUUACGACUUCGUCUUGAGCAUCGAUCGAAACAUCUAGGACUGAAAUUUAUUCCUCAUCAUCUGCGAUGUGACUAUCAUAUUCAUCACACGUCUCUUCAUUUCCGAUUUCAUCGAAAGCUUUUUCGCCGUUUCUUCUUCUUCAUCAUGGUUAUAUGAUGGAAUUGGAGAAUUAUUACAACUACCACUACAAUUUGCGCAUAUAACGGAGCAUUUUAAUCCAGCUUUUCUGCAUCCACAGGCUUUUUUGACAUCCUUUUAUACACUUGCAAGAAAUAAGUUUCAAUAACGAUUCUGGAGCGGGGGCUGAAGCAUCCUAUCAGGAAUAAGUCCAUUUUUGUUUCUAUUCCAUCCCCAUUCUUCUGCAUUUUUUUCAUUUCCAUAAAACUGCUGAACCUGGUGAUAAUCUCGGAAUGAAUGUUGUCGUGCUGCUGCUUCUGUUGGUGGUAGUGAUGCAAUAUUAAAUUUACUUUUAUAUGCUGAUUUUGUGAAGCAUACAUAUCUAUAUUCGUUUAAAGACAUGUUUUUUUUACUCUUCACGUCACUAUAACCGUAUAAUUGAAGGAGGAAACGUUCUCCUGCCUUAGCAAUGAUCUCUGGAUCAGCGUUCGGAUUUUUAAAUACCUCAAUGACUUCGUUCAAAUCAGGAUUUUUUCGGAGUACAUUAAAGAAUUUCAUUUUUCCUUGAUUAAAGUGUGCACAUGUGGUAUCACAGCCACUGAAGGCAUGCAAAAAUAAAAUAUGAUCUGCAGCUGUUUUGUCAAUGAUACUUUCAGUGGAAUAGAUUUGUUGGGGAACUUUUCCUUUUCCUGGUUUGAGAAAGUACACGUUCGAUCUCGUACAUAGAGCUGUGAAAAGAAUCAGAAGAUCUAUAUCUUCGUCGACCACUAUUACGGUAUCGAAUGCUGGUGAAACAUUUAUUGCGAUGUUGAUGAUUAACGUAUCCGCAUCUACCGUGGCUUGUGAUACCAUGAAAUUUUCCGCUUCAAAUUUUGUUUUCAACAUUCUAAUGAGGCGGUUCUUGUUCGCAUCAUUCCCCAGGAAUUUAUCUUGUGACACAGUUGGAAUCAUUGUCUCGUCAAAAAGUAUGUCUACUGAAGCAGCUAUUCUUGAUCGUCGGGAUCGUUCUGCGUAUUUCGUACUACGGGUUGCUUCAUCUUCAGGAUAUCCGUCGAAUACGAUUAUGGCAUUGGAUUUAUAUUUGGAUCGAACGUACGUGAUGUAAUUAUUGCAAAUAGAUGCAAAUGGUUCACCGCGAUGCCAAAUGACUCGGUGUAAUAAGUGCCCUCCGUCGAUGACGUACAUUAUAUCACCAAAAUGUGUGUCUCCAAAAUGUUGCUUAAACGCCUUAUACAUCGAAGAUUUAAUGCAUUUACGCAUGCCUUCGCCAUUGAAAAGAGAUAAUGGAAAUGGAGCAAGUUUGUACGCAAGAAAGUUUUUAAGUUCCUCUUCAGAUUCUUUUGCAAUACACAUUCGUUGGAAAAUUAGUAAUGGAUUAAUCGGUUCAAUUUCACCUUCUAUUGGAAUGCCUGCAGUCAUAACACCAAGGGAUUUUAUCCUGUCAUUCCGCUUGAAUUUCACCGUAUAAAAAUCGCUGCCAAUGAUUUUAGAAAUGCCAGUGCAACCAAUUUCUCGAGCCAUGUAACAAUUAAUGUUGUCAUCUCCAACAACUAUAGUGGUUAUUGACAUAAUAUCCUUUAUUUGUGGAAAAGGUGAAUGGUGGACAACCCAUUCAUAAGCUUUUUUACAUCGUCAUCGUCGCGGCUUACUCGUGAACUUCUCAUUUCGACGUGCUGCUCGGAAGCAGAAAAAGUAACAUUGCAAAAGUUUUCUACUUCGUCGCAAAUAUUGUGCAAGAAUACCAUUCCUAAAGUCCACUUGGAAAGCACGCUUUCGUUUACUCCUCGUCCAUGAGUAAGACCACCUAGGCAUUUCAUCGUUCUCAUGAGCGAUUGCUCAAUUGUCAUAUCAGACCAUGUGCCACACCAAAAUUUGUCAGAACGUCUAAUUGUAAAAUAUCCUUUAGUUGUAAAAAGUUCGUAUUCUUCAGCUGACAUUCGUUUCUUUAAAUCCGACAUGCCCUGCAAAUAUAAAUGGCAA